rnacentral:lncRNA from 1 species
UAGGCUACACAGUCAGUAUUUUUAUUUGAUUAUUAUUAGCUAUUCAUACAUGCCUACAGUUUAUUGCAUACAAUACAAAGACGGUUCAUCUCUUUAUCUAGAAACCCAAAUUCUUUACAAGCAGAUCUGACCAGAAUUCUAUACAACAGUUUUUAUUUAAAACACACAUAAUGUUACUUAUACAAAUCACAACGAUAGAGAUACAGAGUUAAAGUGACAUGGUUUGAGUUCAAUUGACUUUGGCUACAUCUCAUAUUCUUAUAUGCUAGUGCACUAAAUGGAGAAUAGGGUAUUAUUUGCGACUGAGCCUUAGAAUGUGUAUAUUUCCCAUGUCGGUAUCAAUAGUUCCGAUACAUUCUAGUUCAGAAUGUAAAUGAGAACGUUAUUGUCAUGGAACGUUUGAUGCUGAAAUGGAUUUAACAGAACUCUGUUCAUCUAUCCACCUCAUUGUCGAACGUUGCUAUGGGCACGGCCAAACAACGGAAGUGAAGGAUUCGACUUCUGCUUUACUUACCACUGCAACGCGCUGGUGGCAAUCUUGCCAGAGUAAAUUAUUGGAAAGAGACAAUUUAUAGAGUAUAACAGUCAAGUAUAAGUGUAAUUGAGUACGUGUAAUUGUAUAUGUAUUUCAUUCAAGUAGGCUAGUUCUGUUGUGAUAAUACUGUUAGUUGUGUUGUGUCAGAGUUUAGGCCCGGGCCAUCCACCCAAUAACUAUAACGAUAACUAUAAACUAUAGGCUGCACAAUUAUAAAACGUCGCUGAGCAUCCAUACUAGAGGAAAGUGUAUCGUUUAUCGUUCUACAGUCCUACACCUGUCAAUCAACUGAUCAAACCAAUCUACUGCACGCUUCCUAUCAAUAAGGUGGUAACACAAGACCAUUCAUGAGGUCUCUAACACACAGAAUCUGGUUCAGACCAUUCCUGAGGUCUCUAACACACAGAAUCUGGUUCAGACCAUUCAUGAGGUCUCUAACACACAGAAUCUGGUUCAGACCAUUCAUGAGGUCUCUAACACACAUAAUCUGGUUCAGACCAUUCAUGAGGUCUCUAACACACAGAUACCAGUUCAGACCAUUCAUGAGGUCUCUAAGACACAGAAUCUGGUUCAGACCAUUCAUGAGGUCUCUAACACACAGAAUCUGGUUCAGACCAUUCAUGAGGUCUCUAACACACAGAAUCUGGUUCAGACCAUUCAUGAGGUCUCUAACACACAGAAUCUGGUUCAGACCAUUCAUGAGGUCUCUAACACACAGAAUCUGGUUCAGACCAUUCAUGAGGUCUCUAACACACAGAAUCUGGUUCAGACCAUUCAUGAAGUCUCUAACACACAUAAUCUGGUUCUGACCAUUCAUGAGGUCUCUAACACACAGAAUCUGGUUCAGACCAUUCAUGAGGUCUCUAACACACAGACACUGGUUCAGAUCAUUCAUGAGGUCUCUAACACACAGAAUCUGGUUCAGACCAUUCAUGAGGUCUCUAACACAAAGAUACUGGUUCAGAUCAUUCAUGAGGUCUCUAACACACAGAAUCUGGUUCAGACCAUUCAUGAGGUCUCUAACACACAGAAUCUGGUUCAGACCAUUCAUGAGGUCUCUAACACACAUAAUCUGGUUCAGACCAUUCAUGAGGUCUCUAACACACAGAUACUGGUUCAGACCAUUCAUGAGGUCUCUAACACACAGAUACUGGUUCAGACCAUUCAUGAGGUCUCUAACACACAGAAUCUGGUUCAGACCAUUCGGUGCUUUCAGGGUGUGUUCAUUGUCAUAGUGACAACUGCAAAUUAUAAUAUGUGAAUCAAGGCCUAAUGAAAAGCAAUAUAGUACCUCAAAUUUAAAUGUAGCAAUUCAACAACAAACACUGUUUAGCCUGCACAUAUUUUACAGCAUGUAUUUGCCCUCUUGCUCAAGUGGGUUGCAAGUGAUUUUUUGAGGUCUUCUUUUUUACAGUUCUCAUCUCUGUAUGUCCUCUGAAACUAUUUGCAAUGUAUCAGUGCAACAAUAUUAUCAUAACCGGCCAAAAGUGAUCACACGAUUUCCUCAACUUUCCCCAACAUGCGUUUUCUAUGCUGUAGGCCUGUUUUACAUUCGGCAAUUAGCAAGAGCAAGCCUGCUUCUUUCCCAUCGAACAGACUAUUAGGCCUAGUAUAAAAAAGGAUCAAACUACAUGUGCUAUAGCUGUUGUAAGUAAGAAGGUAAAUAUUAGCUAGAUAUUAGGCCAUAAAAUUAUUAUACCUGAUAUUAUUGUUAUCAAGUGAGUACACAAUUAUUGUCUAUAUGCUGUAAACUGCAGUGAUGUAGGCUAAUUAGAAUAACCGCUCACACAUCCUGUUUUGUUUCAUACCGAAAUAACUGCAUACAGUAGCGUACCAGCCUAGGCCUGAGUAUGCAGCCAUUUGGAUCAGUCUGGGUCUAUUCUUGACAGUUUAGAAGGUCCAGAAAGGUACAUUAUUAGGUCACUCAUACGGUGUAGGCCUAUUUAGUCAGGAUGUAGUCCGCUGGUUAACAGGAUAGGACAAUACGGGCUCCUCCUUUCCAACUCCCUGCCCGUUCUUAACGCUGUAGCCUAUUUCACAUCCAGCAAGCAGGCCGCAAGCGUGCAUCUCUCCUCCAAUAGGAUAUUAGUAGGCUAAAGAAAAUAAGUCGAAAUACCUGUCAAAUAAGUUUUUGUAGACUGGCUUUUCCUUGGACUCCACAAUAUUUAAAAGGAAUAGCCGUGGCAGCGGAGAGGAUAAGUGCGUAAUUGCUCAUCAGAGCAAUGAAGACAGACAGACAGGCUGGGGAUGUACUGUGACCUACAGCCUAAGUUAGAAGCUUAUGCAUAUCAGACCAUAAUUCAUGAGCUCAAUGUUAGGCAUAAUACUGCAGUCAAUUUAUCCAGUCAAUUUACACAGUGAAAGAAAAAGUGCUUUUCAGAUAGUGAAAUCAUAGUUAGCGCUCCCGAUUCUGCGCUGAGUGCGGUCCCUCCAAGUCCGUGGGUACAUUGUUUUUUAGGGACAAGAAAUGUACCCUACCUAGGCUACAACAACACAAUGCAAUGAAGUAUGUUAUUAUUGUUUUCAAGUGCGUAGAAAACUCUAGUCUGGGCCAUAAACUGCAGUGAAUACCCUAUGUCAUUUGAAUAACCGCUCAAAAGCCUGGCUUUUAAAAUACAUAUUAAUUUGGAAAUAAAUGAAACUAACAUGCCUGACUGGACAACCAUUUGGAUCUGUUAUGUUUUUGUUAUGAGCAGUUCAGCCUACAAGGUCCAGGCACAUCAGCAGGACAAUAACACACGGUGUAUUUUGUCAUGAUUUCUCCGCUAACAGAAACAUGCUAAUGCAGGAGUUCCUAGUGGCGCGCAUAUGAAUUAUGAUAAUGCGCAAGCGCGGAGAAACAUGUAUCCAUAGUUUCCGCGUUUGGCGUCAUAUUUUAAAAGCGUUCGAAAAUGAGGUGGAUAACUCCCUAUACAAACAUUUAGAUAAUCAAUUUCACAUUCACAGCUGUUCUUCUACUGUACACUGAAGUUUCUCUUAGAUACAGAUCUAGGAUCAGCUUACCCAUCCUCCAAUCGUAACCUUAACUAUUAGCGGGAAAACUUAACUUAACUUAACUAGCGGGAAAACCACAAAACUGCUCUUAGAUCAUUGUCUAGGAUUCAACUUCAUCCCCAAGUCGAGCUGUAUGUAUACUUAGUUUAGAUGUGCUAUUUAAUGGUGCAGUGUCCCUUUUUAUUUGCUAUCCGUGGCACAUUGAAACAACGCAAAAGAAAGUAUUUUCAGUGUCUGUCUUUCUCCAUGCCUUUCUUCGUUAGUUUAAAACCCAUACUUUAAAAAAAAUGUUAGGACUAUAUCCUCUGCAAGUGUGGUCUCAAUAUCAUUUUUCCCUGGGGGCCAUAUUACUUAAAUCGGCUCAGGGGCCACUUUUGGAUCAUGGGCCUGUAGUUUAAGACCCCUGAUCUACAAGCACUGAGCAGAUACAGUAAGCAUUGUGAAUAACGUUAGAUGGAGGAACUUAGGCAUCUGUGCAGAUGUACAAAGCUACUUCAUAUAGUACACCACAAGCAGAGGCUUCAGUACAGAAUAAAACUUGUCUAAUAUUGUGAUUGAUGACUACAUUUCCCACAAUUCAUCUUGCGCUGAAAACUUGCCCUUGAAAAUAAGUCAACCCACUACAUCAUACUCAAAUCUCACUGACCCUCAUACAGAGUAGCUGUUGCUUAUGUAAAACUAUGUCGUGUUUCAUUUGAUAUGUUUAUAUUUAUAUAUAUAUAUAGUGUUUUUUAUUAUUCUCUUAAGACAUACAUUUUAAAACUUGAGGUGGUGAAACUGUAAAGUUGGGUUUUCUUUGGUUACCAGGUUGUUUUUCUUGUUGUUGUUUACAAGUGGAGAAAAGGUGGGAUCCUACACCUUUGUUGUGUGUGUGCGUGUGUUUGUGUGCGAUCCUACGCAGUUUCACACGUGGCAUUUCAGGGACGCAUCAUCCCACCGCCUCCCCAACACCCCCGCGCUCUGUGGUAAGAAUCUACCGGAAUGGCGUCUGUUUGUGUUCUAGAUUUAGCAUUGUCCAGGGCAACCAGCUGAACCUUCCCAUAAUUGGAGUUGGUUGCUAUGGGUAUAUAUUUCCAUCUUUUUAGUCACAGUGUGCAUCCCAAACGGCACCCUAUCCUCUAUAUAGUGCACUACUUUAGACCAGAGCUCUAUGGGCCCAGGUCAAAAGUAGUGCACUACGUAGUGAACAGGGUGCCAUGUUGGACGUGGCCUGUAACUUUUCUCAGAUGUACUCCUGUCUAGGUUAUGUAUGAGCCACGUUAAAUAAAUAAUUGAGGGAAUAACUUAAUAAAAACGUGACACCCACCUUGACACAAGCUGACUUGUGCUCCUCAUCCUCAACCAACCCCAUUUAGUUUACCCCAGCAAGGUCAUAGCCAUGUCUUGUAGUGUUGUACUGCUCACUGCUAAGUACUGUAAUACUGAAGCAUAACAUUAAUGAUUGAUUGGUUGAUUGAUUGAGUGGCUAACUAAGUGAUUGGGGGGGAGGGAGGGGGGGGGGGGUGUAUUCUAUAGCCUCAUUCCUCUCCCCCUUCAGUAUCCAUAGAUCUGACCGAAGCUAAAACAUCAUCAUACUGCCUAUCCACCUACCAAGUCAUUUCAGAUCUGUGAAUACAGGAAGAAAGAUAGAAAACAUUUGAGACACAAUUCUGUUGAGUGAUAUUGAGUCAGAAUUUUGGGGGGUGCUAAAAUCACUCCAUACACUCCCAUCCUUCCAGACCAAACUAGACUCCGUUUCCUCAAAAGCCUUAUCCCUUGACCCAUGACCCCUCUCAGUCGGACCACUCCCCGUUGUCCUCCCCGCCGGAGUCAGACUCUGAUUCGCUGUACUCGACGGCGAUGCGACGUGAGAGAAUGGUGGCCACGUCGUUUCCUACGGGCUCUCUCUUCGCUUCCUGCUCUCUCUGCUCCUGUACCUUCCUCAAUUGGAUACC